GUAACGGCGAGUGAACCGGGAAGAGCUCAAGCUGAAAAUCUUCGGAAUUGUGGUCUAUAGGUGCGGACUCGCGCAGCCCCAGGUAUAAAUCCGUUCUUGGAAUUGGGUGCCAGAGAGGGUUAGAGCCCCGUCUUUGACUUGGGUAGCUGUGCGUGGCGAGUCUUUACCGGAGAGUCGGCUUGCUUGGGAAUGCAGGCCAAAAUGGGUGGUAAACUUCAUCUAAAGCUAAAUAUUGGCGAGAGACCGAUAGCGAACAAGUACUGUGAAGGAAAGAUGGAAAGAACUUUGAAAAGAGAGUGAAAAAGGGCUUGAAAUUGUUAAGAGGAGAAGUGAUUGGAGCAUAUCAUACGGCGUGGGGUUCCAGAGACGGGACUUGUCUUGUCUUGCACCAUCCCGCGUUGUUGGUCAGCAUCGAUUCUGUGUGGGGGAGAAAGCCUUUUGCGUUGAUGGCUUCGGCUUGAUCGGAAGGGGUGAAACCUCGGAUGGGAUCGAGGCAGCAAGUCUACGCUUGGCGGCCGGCCCCUUUUGCGGCUUUCUACAUGUUGCACACCCUUUUGGCGUCUGUGGCGUGUGGGGGGUCGAUAGGAGGGAGCGCUGGACCUGUAGACUUAAGAUGCUGGCACAAUGGCUUCAAUCAGCCCGUCUUGAAACACGGACCAAGGAGUCUAACACGUAUGCGAGUAGUAAGGUGGCAAACCUUGGAUGCGCAAUGAAAGUAAAUGUAGGUGGGAUCCGCAAGGUGCACCAUCGACCGACCAGGAUCUUUUUGUGAAAGGUUUGAGUAAGAGCAUAUUUGUUGGGACCCGAAAGAUGGUGAACUAUGCCUGAAUAGGGUGAAGCCGGAGGAAACUCCGGUGGAGGCUCGUAGCGGUACUGACGUGCAAAUCGUUCGUCAAAUUUGGGUAUAGGGGCGAAAGACUAAUCGAACCAUCUAGUAGCUGGUUCCCUCCGAAGUUUCCCUCAGGAUAGCUGGAGCUCAUACAAGUUU
rnacentral:rRNA from 1 species